rfam:Thalassiosira oceanica strain CCMP1005 To_g09709, whole genome shotgun sequence.
GCGCCCAUGGUGUAGUGGUAACAUGAAUCCCUUCCAAGGAUUCGCCCUGAGUUCGAUUCUCGGUGGGCGCA